UAUCCAUAAUGUGGCCAUUGAUAUAAAAAUGAUUUAAAGCAAUCUCAUGCUUCAUGAUAAGAUUCAGUAUCCUUUUGAUAAAAAUUAAAAAUUUAAUCCUUAGUUU
rfam:Ricinus communis cultivar Hale ctg_1100012282674, whole genome shotgun sequence.